rnacentral:rRNA from 1 species
CCUGAGCCUUGUACACACCGCCCGUCAAGUCAUGGAAGCUGGUAGUACCCGAAGUCCCCUUAGCCAACCGCAAGGAGGCGGGGGCCGACGGUAAGACCGGUGACUGGGACU